CUGAGCUUUUCUGAGGUAAAGAAGAGGUUCUUUAGCAUGUUCUGGUGGAGUUACUGGGUAUUGUAACUUUGGUUUUGUAGAUAUUUUACCUGAGCUUUUCUGAGAUAAAGAAGAGGUUCUUUAGCAUGUUCUGGUGGUGUUACUGGGUAUUGUAACUUUGGUUUUGUAGAUA